rnacentral:lncRNA from 1 species
CAUGGUUAUUAAGCUGACCCGGGGUGAUUUGUACACUGGUGCUGUGACUCAGCAUCAGAUAGAAGGAGCUGACACUCAGAUGUCCUGGAGAAACAGUUUUACACCUCUAGCACAUUUCCACCCUUAUGGAAUGGUCAUAGGCCCUCUGGGCAGUCAUAUUCCCUAAAGCUGCACACACAUGCUAUUUCACUAUGUGGUGAAAAUCAUUUUCUAAGGGCUUUCAGAAGGCUACUGGGGCAACAGGAGCUUAUAAAACGUGCUUAGUGCUCCUUCUGAUGGAAAUGACAUGUGCAAUUACUAUUCUCUGCACUCCUUUCUACAUCCUGCCCUCCACCCCACUCCACCUUACCAUCCCCCACACACCAUCUUUUCAACCUGACUGCUUACAAAUGAGAAGCCGGCUGCCAUUCAGCCACCAGGGUCAGUGUAGCUCCUGACGUGGACUGACUUCUCUUGAGACUGACAUACCAUCCGUGCUAGCAGCUGACAGAAAAGACAUGUACCUUUUCAGAUUUUGUUGCACAAGAGAGAUAAAAAUGAAGUUGUCCAGCCAGGUUUAAGGAAGCCAGUUAAACAAAGGGUGUGUUGCAUAUGUUAAUCUUGAAGUGUUUAUUGAUACUCGGUGGUGAUACAAGCCAGCUAGAUUUUAUGAACACAUUUUUCCCUUUAUUUAUGAGGGGCCUUGCCAAACUCACCUGUCUUUCUUUCUUGAUUUCAUAAAACAGCUAUAUUUUUAGAAAAAUUUCCUGCCCUUCUAACAGUCAAAUAUUGAAAUUCACCUGAUAUUUUAUCCCUAUAUCUACCCCUAAACACCAUAAAUAAUAAUAAUCCAGACCUAAAGCUAACAUAAAUUGACCUCAGUAGUGUUUAGAACUGAUUUUUUUUUUUGAGGUUUUAGAACAAAAAACAACAAUGAGUCAUUUUUAGUGUUGACUGGUUUGGAGAACGGCAAGUUAGCUAAAUCUAGGGCUGGUGUACAGUGGUCAGAAGAUGUUCAGGAACAAGAAGGGUUGGGCCUCUGCCUUUCUUUCCUUUUGUCCUCUGUAAACCUGCCUUUUCUUGUUUACUCGCCCAUGUGUAUAAACCCAGUGAGGUGCCACACUGGCCUAGGGAUGACAGAACUUUCCAGCUCCUCCCUCUUUUAUACAUUAGUGAAAAAGUGGGUACUGGGACAAGAUGUAGAUUCACUCACUCACUUCCCUAGGCCUUGCUUUCUGAGCUUAGACUUAGUCUACAAAGUAUUUCCAGGUGCACUGUUGUGAAACGGUGAUCUUGGAUGAGGGAAAGGAGGCUCAUUUAACCCUACACCCAUCACCUUUGCAGUGGUGGUGGUGGUGGUCCUGGUGGUGGUGGUGGUGGUGGUGGCAAUAGUGGCAGUGUUGCUCCUUGCUACCACUCCAAUGUUCUGAGUUCCUGAAUAUGAAAGACACACACACACACACACUCGACCUUUAUAUUUUAAUAUGCCUUAAACAGCUCAAUGGCUGUCCCACUUCCAAAUCUUCAUGUGUCUAAUACUCUCCCCUCUGAUAUUCCUAAGUUAUUACUUACUAAAACCUAUGUUCUAUCUUGGCUGCCCUGAACCCAGACCUGCAGCCCUCUUGGGCUGAGUUCCCCAGCACCUACAUGACAGCUAUGUUCUCUGCCCGGCACCUCCUAGACGUGACAUCUACUCCUUUCCUGGUAUGGCAGCUAUCUCACUUCCUGUUCCUUCCUCAAUUCCUUGCCCAGGAAUCCUAAAAUCCAGCCUCUGUCUCCCUGCCCUGCCUUUGGCCACCAGCAACUUUCUUUACCAAUCAAAACCAAUUGGCGGCAGAGUCCCUCAGCAUCUUAAGUUUUUGAAUGUGCUGAUUCUCAUGUAAUUCUGGGGAUCAAAUCCACAACAGUCCUCCUUUGCAGGUUCUGAUACAUCAUCCUAGAAAGACAUAUAUUCUGCUUGAAAAAAAAUUUUUAAGUUUUGAGGUGAAUGUAAACUUUGGAUAAACUUAGCAUCUUGAUAGACCUUAUCCUGCCCCAUGUGACUCUGCUUGUUUUAUCUACUUCUGGUCUCCAGUUGUUUGAACUUUCCUCUUCUAGCUUGGUUUUAUCCCUCCUGGGCAACCCUCAGGCAAGAUUCAUUUAACUAUCCCUGGACUUUGUUAAGGUACUCAUGCCUCAUGAAAUGUGAAGGUUCCUGUACUGCUAGAAGAAACAGCAGUAAACAAUGAAAUUUUCGAGUAGGCUAUUGCAAAUCUGCCAGGAGAAUGUGGCCACUGUUAUGACUCUGGCUUUAGGACUGGGUGUUAAAAAGGAUCAAAUCGUGCUUCUUGGAGAUGUUCAAAACUGUGUAUCAGACUCUUUUCCUCCUCUCUGCAAUACAUGCACAUGCUCACAUUUCCCAUUCUGAAGGAGGAGGAAGAAGAAAAAGAGGAAAAGAAAAGAAAAGGGGAUUUUUCUAUUCUUUUUUUUUUUCUAAAGACUUGUUUUAUGAGUACACUGUAGCUGUUUCCAGACACACCAGAAGAGGGCAUCAGAUCCCUUUACAGGUGGUUGUGAGCCACUAUGUGGUUGCUAGGAAUUGAACUCAGGACCUUUGGAAGAGCAGACAGUGCUCUUAACCGCUGAGCCAUCUCUCCAGCCCCUGAUUUUUUAUUCUUAAAGAAAAUCUUAUAGCUCAUAUUUCCUGAUAAUUUAUUACAUUGUCUAGAUUCUCUAGGACAUACUGUAGGCUGAUUUUUAGAUGAUUCAUACGAGGAGUGUCUGAACCAUUUGUAUUGAGGUGCAUAUGCCAGGAUUAUAGGGAUUUAUAGAGUCUGUUUACUGGAAAAGUCAGAAAGGCUCAAGGUAAGCUAGCUGAAGUGCCCUCUCAGAUCUGGCUGUUAGAAUACUUGUUUCUGUGUGUGCUCUCAGGGCUCUGUGCAGUACUGCAGGUGGACUUUGGCUAACAGAGUCGUAGCACAUGUUACAGCAACAUUCUGCCCAUUUUGCAAGAGCACAGUCUUCCCUGAAAUAUCUUUUCCAGGGCACUGACAUGUACUUAGCAGAUUACAAUCACAUGACUGCCCAGCGUCAUGCCUGUCUGCUUCUAGUAAGAUUGUUACAGAAAAGAUAUUCUCAUUCUAUUCUGUGUUAAAAAAAAAAAAUCAGUAUGGUCAGUACCUGUCGAUAUAUGAAUACUAUAUGAAUCUGCUGCAAAUGAAUUGUUUCAUUAUUGAGAAUAUGUUUAACCUGAUGUUAGAUUUAAAGAACUCUCUCAUGGAAAACUGAGGUAGCUCUCAUCUUCAGAGUGAUUUACAUAUGCAUGCAUGUUGUCUAACAUCUUGAGCAUAAUAAGUAAUGACUUUUGUGCUUUAUUUUAAAUUAUAGGGCUGGGCAUUGACUCAUAUGGCUAAGUGCUUAAUGUAUAAACUAGAGAACAUGGGCUCAGAUGCCUACAGCUACAUAAAAGUUGGAGAUGCAACACGUAUCUGUAAUCCCCAACCUUGGGGAAGCUUGGAGAGAGGCUGAUUCCAGGGGCCUCUGGCCAACCAGCAUAGCCAAGCAGUGAGCCCCAGCUUCACUGAGAAACCCUGUGUCAAAAUGAGAGACAAGGCAAAAGAAGAAAAUAUGACAUUGACCUCUGACCUACACACAAAAGUGCAGAAACCCACAUGAACUCACACAUACACACACC